ACGCUCGACACCUACGGGAGGCAGCAGUUGGGAAUAUUGGACAAUGGAGGAAACUCUGAUCCAGUGACGCCGCGUGAAGGAAGAAGGUCUUCGGAUUGUAAACUUAUUUUGUCAGGGAAGAAAAAUGACUGUACCUGAAGAAAAAGCACCGGCUAACUACGUGCCAACAGCCGCGGUAAUCUGAGCGGGCGUGGCAAGGC
rnacentral:rRNA from 1 species